GACGAACGCUGGCGGCGUGCUUAACACAUGCAAGUCGAACGGAAAGGCCCUGCUUUUGUGGGGUGCUCGAGUGGCGAACGGGUGAGUAACACGUGAGUAACCUGCCCUUGUCUUUCGGGUGACUUCACGAAACUGGGGCUAAUCCCGGAUAGGAUACCCUGCUGCGUUGAGGGGGUUGGAACUUUGCGGCGGUUGGGGAUGGACGGGCGGCUGAUCAGCUUGUUGGUGGGGGAGUGGCUGACCAAGGCUUGGACGGGUAGCCGGCCUGUGAGCGUGACCGGCGACAAUGGGACUGAGAGACGGCCCAGACUGGAACGUGAGGCAGCAGGGGGAAAUCUUGCACAGUGAGCGGAAGUCUGAUGCAGCAACGUCGCGUGCGGGAUGACGGCCUGCUGGUUGUAAACCGCUUUCGCCUGUGACGAAGCGUUAGUGACGGUAAUGGGUGAAGAAGCACCGGCUAACUACGUG
rnacentral:rRNA from 1 species